GAUGAACGCUGGCGGCGUGCCUAAUACAUGCAAGUCGAGCGAACGGACGAGAAGCUUGCUUCUCUGAUGUUAGCGGCGGACGGGUGAGUAACACGUGGAUAACCUACCUAUAAGACUGGGAUAACUUCGGGAAACCGGAGCUAAUACCGGAUAAUAUUUUGAACCGCAUGGUUCAAAAGUGAAGGACGGUCUUGCUGUCACUUAUAGAUGGAUCCGCGCUGCAUUAGCUAGUUGGUAAGGUAACGGCUUACCAAGGCAACGAUGCAUAGCCGACCUGAGAGGGUGAUCGGCCAUACUGGAACUGAGACACGGUCCAGACUCCUACGGGAGGCAGCAGUAGGGAAUCUUCCGCAAUGGGCGAAAGCCUGACGGAGCAACGCCGCGUGAGUGAUGAAGGUCUUCGGAUCGUAAAACUCUGUUAUUAGGGAAGAACAUAUGUGUAAGUAACUGUGCACAUCUUGACGGUACCUAAUCAGAAAGCCACGGCUAACUACGUG
rnacentral:rRNA from 1 species